rnacentral:rRNA from 1 species
AUAAGGCCAAUCAGGGCCUUCAUCACGCACACGGCAAAAAAGGACCAGGCGGGCUCUCUUACGGGAGGCAGCAGUGGGGUAUCCUACCGGGAGGCAGCAGUGGGGAAUCUUGGACAAUGGGCGCAAGCCUGAUCCAGCCAUGCCGCGUGAGUGAUGAAGGCCUUAGGGUCGUAAAGCUCUUUCGCCAGAGAUGAUAAUGACAGUAUCUGGUAAAGAAACCCCGGCUAACUCCGUGCCAGCAGCCGCGGUAAUACGGAGGGGGUUAGCGUUGUUCGGAAUUACUGGGCGUAAAGCGUACGUAGGCGGAUUAGUCAGUCAGAGGUGAAAUCCCAGGGCUCAACCCUGGAACUGCCUUUGAUACUGCUAGUCUUGAGUUCGAGAGAGGUGAGUGGAAUUCCAAGUGUAGAGGUGAAAUUCGUAGAUAUUUGGAGGAACACCAGUGGCGAAGGCGGCUCACUGGCUCGAUACUGACGCUGAGGUACGAAAGUGUGGGGAGCAAACAGGAUUAGAUACCCUGGUAGUCCACACCGUAAACGAUGAAUGCCAGUCGUCGGGCAGUAUACUGUUCGGGACACACCUAACGGAUUAAGCAU